CCCACUCCCAGAGCAUGGGGGGGCGAGCCCGGGGCACGCUCCCCACCCCCCGCAGCCACACUGGGUCUGACCCAUGGCCUGGCCAGCCCUGUGCCCUCCCCGCCCUCUUCUCCACUGCCAGCUUCGGGCAGUCACAGGCUAGGGACCCCCAGAACGUGGGGCCUUGACCCCUUGGCUAAGAGCCAUCGAUGGACCAAUGCUCCAGGAACGUACCGAGUUCAGAACACCCCGGCAAGGAUUCCACAGCGUGCCCCUGCACUGCACAAAGACGGACUGGGCUGCCUUUUGUUUUCAACCUGCUGCCUAGUCAUAUCAUCUGGUGACCCUUGUUUUUGUGUUGUGUGAAUGGGUAAAUAACACUUCCCUAUUCACAUUCUCCACAGCAGUUGUAUUUGUGUGGUGAGGAACACGUAUAAUCACUCAUAGACGGCGGCAGCUGUUUUGUUUAUUUUGUUUUAAUCAGGAACAGGAAAACUACAGACAACUGCCUUCUAGCAAGGAGGAAGCUGAACUGAACCUCAAGAAAAUCCGUGUCUCUCUAAAUAACAACUUAUGGAUGGGGCAACCAGAACUGCAUGCAGUGUUCAAGAUGAACAAUGCUGAACCAUACAGUUUACCAACACCCCUACCAGAGAGACCGUGGAAGAGACUAGCUGCAGAUUUAUGCAGAUUCAGAAGACAUCAUUACCUGGUCAUUGUGGGCUAUUUUUCCAGACAUGACUCAGACAACUGCCAGGUCUAGAACUUGGAAACCAUGUUCAUGUCAAAUUGGAUGGAGAAAAAGGAUGGACGACUCCAGCUGGUGUAAAGACAACGAAUUCAGCACCCAAAUCAUACGUAACUGAGGCUGACAGUGGAGAGUUCAACAGAAACCAUCAACAUUUACAGUGUGUUCCUCAGAAAGAAUAAUCAAGAGAGCAAACUCUACAGAUGGUAGGUGCAGAACAAGAAGAUGACUCAGGGAUUCCAAAUCAGCUACAGCCAAUCGUUGCAAUUAAUGGACAGCCAGAUGAACAAGUUGUUACAUGUUCAGGUCAUGUAAUUAGAAACCAGUAUGAUUCAGAGACAGUCAACAGACUGAUACAGACUGAACUUCAAAGUUAGUGAUAGUGUAAAUAUUGUAAGUGGUAGGAAUGUAGAAUGUAUAGGUGAUGUGAUGCAGUGCUAAACUGUAUUGUACUGUUCAGCCAGUAGGUGGCCCUGUGUGUAACAUACACACCCGAAGAAGUGAGGUUUUUACCCACGAAAGCUUAUGCCCAAAUAAAUCUGUUAGUCUUUAAGGCGC